AUUGAACGCUGGCGGCAGGCCUAACACAUGCAAGUCGAACGAGUGGCGGACGGGUGAGUAAUGUCUGGGAAACUGCCUGAUGGAGGGGGAUAACUACUGGAAACGGUAGCUAAUACCGCAUACCAUCGGAUGUGCCCAGAUGGGAUUAGCUAGGAGGUGGGGUAACGGCACACCUAGGCGACGUUCCCUAGCUGGUCGGAGAGGAUGACAAGCCACACUGGAACUGAGACACGGUCCAGACUCCUACGUGAGGCAGCAGUGGGGAAUAUUGCACAAUGGGCGCAAGCCUGAUGCGGCCAUGCCGCGUGUAGGAAGAAGGCCUUCGGGUUGUAAAGUUCUUUCAGCGGGGAGGCGUUACCCGCAGAAGAAGCACCGGCUAACUCCGUGCCAGCCGCCGCGGUAAUUC
rnacentral:rRNA from 1 species